UACAGAGGGUGCGAGCGUUAAUCGGAAUGACUGGGCGUAAAGGGCGUGUAGGUGGUUGCAUAAGUUGGUUGUGAAAUCCCUGGGCUUAACCUAGGAAUGGCAACUGAGACUGUGCGACUAGAGUACUGUAGAGGGUAGUGGAAUUUCCGGUGUAGCGGUGAAAUGCGUAGAGAUCGGAAAGAACACCAGUGGCGAAGGCGACGACCUGGAUUCAGACUGACACUGAGGCGCGAAAGCAUGGGGAGCAAACAGG
rnacentral:rRNA from 1 species